rnacentral:lncRNA from 1 species
UUGGGAAUAAAAAUAGAAUAGACAAAUAGUAUACUUUAUAAGUGAUCAACUAGCCCCUUCCGCCUUUCCUGCUUGCCCUUGUUAAUGCCUUGCGACUUGCCUUGAAAAAGCUUAACAUGGAAAAAAAGCCCUAUCCUUUUACCCUGGAAAAAUACUCAAUCAAUGGUGUUACUAUUUCGUAGGUAUAGCCACUGGAAAGGGCACUGGGAUAAAGGGGAAAUAUGAUAUUGAGGGCUUCCUAGUUGUCUAUUGCUCCUGGAAUCUCACUAUUGGCUUGCCUGGACCCUCUUGGUUUGCUUGGAGAAGCACUAGAACUACAUGGGGUUACCAUAUGCCCUUUUUUCUUUUCAUGACUCGGAGCUAACAUAACACUUUAACUAGAUGGCACUCCAACUGACACUGCAACUCAAAGCUACGGGAGGGCAGAACCAAUGUAACUGGCUUAGGGGGCACUCGAACUCGAGAGAAGCUAAACGCUCGGCUGGAUCAUAUUGUCUCGUAUGGACUGCUCCUAUUGAGACUGCUACAAGAGAGAAUGGAACUACAUGUAAAGAAACUCCCACUGGCUCGUAAGCAUCGGGGACUGCGGGGAAUUAAACUACUGCUACAAGGAAUACUGGGCCUUAGUCCUUCUCUUCUUUUAAACCUAUUCACUCGUAUCCCUAUCCAAAACGACAUGGAAGCACUUAGAACUGGAAUAUAAGUAUGAGUAUGCUAUGGGGCUAUUGACUAAGGGAUCUUAGAUAGGCUAUUGAUUAUCCCGCUUUCAAACUGGUUGUCCUAAAGGACAGGAGGAACUCUUUAACAUAUUAAUUAGUCUGGGGUGUACACUGAAAUGCCUUAGCCAAAGUAAACCACUCCUUAUGUAUACGAACAUUGGCUUGCAACUGCCAUUCUUUCUCGAUCGAAGGCAGAAGCAAUUGAAAAGAGAGAAGCAAAUGAUGAACUGGCUGGAAAAGAGCUCCCAGAGUAGAACUCGAAAUGAAAGUGGGCCUUUAACUGGCACUCCCGCUGUAAUUGGCUGGCCAGGAAAGUUCACUCGCUUAUUUACUUACGUUCUUAUUGAAGAAAGGAAAUUAAGAAAUAGCUACUAUUGAUACUGUAGUGGGACUGAGACUUAAAACAAAUAUACCUAUUAAGAGGUGGAACUGCUAGGCCUAGUACUUCCUAUUGCUGGUAUUCCAGGUGAACUUAUUCAAUACUCUAUGGUAGAAAUAGGAGAAACAUAUUCUAUUACUUAAUAAAGGGGAGAAACAAUUAGCUAUGAACUCAUCUCCUACACUGGGUCUAUGGGAACUAGGACUGAAAUUAUAUGGAUGGCUUUCGAGCCUGGAAAAUAACUGGCUUUUUCACAAGAUUGGUGAAACUGCUUUUAUCACUGGCUUUCCUCUUCUACUGAUUUAUAUUUCCUCCCGCUUUCUUCUUUUACGGAUAUUUCCCUUAGCUUUUUACCUAACCAGCCUUCAUCGAUACGAUACCCUGGCUUGCUUCUUUGCCUGCCUUGACUGUCGAAAUUAGCUUCCCUUAUUGAGAGCUCCCCAGCAAUAGAAUAUGACGAUACUCAUGCUCUGCUUGAACACUUGCCUGAUGGCUUUCAAAAUAGUUAUGGAUUGAAAAAGGGUAAAGAAACUGAAACUCAAAAGCAAACAAAGGAUUAGCAAUGGCUGGAAUAGAACUCCCAGAGAGAAGGCCAAAAACUGGCGCUUGGCUGGAAGGAAUUAGAUUAUGACUGGCCUCACCCUAUUUAUUUAUUUAUUGGCUCAUCUGGAUCGGUAACCUCGGGAAACCCGGGAGAACUCUUAUUGGGAGAACUUCAAGUGUUUAACUCCAAGCCCGACAUAUAAAAGCUAUAUUCAAGCCCCAGCCCUGUUUACUCCUGCUCAUUUAAAAUAUUCCUUACUGCUUGCCUUGAGAGAAACUCCUGCUGAAAAGGGAAUGCUUUCAUUUACUUAUGAUCUUGCUGGAUUAAAAAAGACUCCAACAGGAACUGAAAUUGAUAUAUAUAUAUAUAUAUAUAUAUGCAUUAAACUGCAUCAAAAUUAGCGAUAGAGACAUUGAUUGAAACAAUUAAAUGUGCUAAGUUGCACGUGCUGAACUUUGCCAAUGAACCACGUUCUACGUUUUACCACCCACCACGAAAACGAAAAAAAUUUGGGCCUGGGCCUCAUGGGCCUCACUUGGAGCCAUGGCCCAUUCCAAGUAGAGCGGGUUGAGUCGUUCGUAGUUCGAAGUUCGAACUCGGUUUUUUAACAUAUACCCUAAAAUUUGUGUCCGCGCCCACCUCUUCUCCUCCCUGGCUCCUCCCGGAGUACAUCAAAACCCUAGCUUCGAUCCUGAUUGUUGAGAUUCCUCUAGGGUUUGGAACCCGAAAUUGGUGAUGGAAGAGGACGAAGGAGAGACCGUUUCUGUUUCGGAGGUCGCCCCAGCUUUGAUCGCCGUACAUCCUCUCGAGAAUUCCGUUGCUGUCGCCGUGGGAUCCGGGGUAAGGCGGAUUGAACUACUGAAUAAGAGAAGCAUUGGGAUUUCCUUGAUUAUAGGGUACUAUCUCAUUGCGGAAGCAGAAGGGAAUCCUUCGAAAGGCAAACCAACGAGGAAGCAUGAAAGGAUCAGAGAAAGAUGUCUUCCUCGGGAAGAAAGCGCGAGCUCUUCAAUCAGUGAGCAUACCUCAUGGGAAUGCAGGUCUUGUUGCAGCACGGGCGUAAAAAGACAUCAUUGAUAACAACUCACUCUCGUUAAGCUCUUACGGUUCAAGGAAGGGAGACCGUCAAGGACAAGGCCAGUGACAAGUCAGGGGCAGGAAAUUCUACUAUAAUACGAGAUCUGUCAAGAAAAAACGGCAACAUAAAUAGUUCAGUCUGUGCCAUCUUAAAGUACAAUGCCAAUAGAGUCAACGAAUCGGAUUGAAAUCAGUGUGAAGAAGAGGGACUAAUCAAGCACAGCAAAAUAGUAGUCAUGUCCACAAGGAAAGGAAUUAUUUUCACCCCCUAUCUAUAUUAUGGGUCUGUACUACUCUAGGAGGUACUAUUGGCAGAGGGGAAGCGCCACUUAGAGACUUUGAAUCUGAAGGAGGGCAGUCGGCCCUAAAGGUAAGAAGGUCUUUGUUUAAGUUCUAAAGUAAUGAUUCAAUCCCACACCUAUUGGAAUCCUCGUGUUGGACACGACGAACCACGCGGAAUAAAGGAAAGCGGGAACUGAACUGAGAACGUUUCGCUGUGAGUCUCCGAACAGCCCGACCCACAUCGCUUCUCUAGAUUAGUGUACUUCCUAAGGUUGGGCAUUUGGCUGAGCCUCUCUCCCUCACCAAUGUGAAUGAAAGGGCACCACAUACAUCUCGACUAGUUUAGUUCGUGCCUGCGGAGCGAACUAAAACCUAUUUUGAAUUCCGGACUCCGAAGUUAGGAUAUUUGGUUGCUUGCUUUGUACUCGACCCAUGUGGUUCGGCUUGUUGCGCCACCUCACUUAACCAAACAUAUCCGAGAAUCAGUUCUACCUGAUCUACACAGCACUUGCUGCUUCAUCCCCGGUUGCAUCUUACUCUGCUGGUCCACCUUCUAAACUGGUCUCCGCACCUGAGACACAUCCGUCUCCUGUUGCUUAUUCUUUUUCCUAUAUUGUGGUGGCUUAUUCGGCGAGUUGGAGCUCCUACUGUUCCCGCGCCAGCUUCAACUCUUGCUCCCGAUUCGGCUCGUGCAACCAGGUGCGGGGCGGCGAUCACUUCGAGAGCUGCACAAGGUAUAUUUUGCACUCUUUAUUUAAGAAUAUUGCCCCCCUAUGUAUGUAUGGCGGUGGAAUUACGAUAGGUAGAGUGCCUCUAUACGGGAAGGUAACCCGUAGAGUGCUGCUUUCUUUGUGGUAAAGCCACAUGAUUGUGAUUAUUAAAGAGUUAGGAUUGAACCUACGACCUCCAGUCUCCCUAAGUGGAGUAAAGCUCCCUUCGGCCUCGAAGAUCAUCUGGUUCCAACUCGAAUUUCUAUGUUAAUAGGUUUUGUACUUCUGCAUGUUGGGAAUAAAAAUAGAAUAGACAAAUAGUAUACUUUAUAAGUGAUCAACUAGCCCCUUCCGCCUUUCCUGCUUGCCCUUGUUAAUGCCUUGCGACUUGCCUUGAAAAAGCUUAACAUGGAAAAAAAGCCCUAUCCUUUUACCCUGGAAAAAUACUCAAUCAAUGGUGUUACUAUUUCGUAGGUAUAGCCACUGGAAAGGGCACUGGGAUAAAGGGGAAAUAUGAUAUUGAGGGCUUCCUAGUUGUCUAUUGCUCCUGGAAUCUCACUAUUGGCUUGCCUGGACCCUCUUGGUUUGCUUGGAGAAGCACUAGAACUACAUGGGGUUACCAUAUGCCCUUUUUUCUUUUCAUGACUCGGAGCUAACAUAACACUUUAACUAGAUGGCACUCCAACUGACACUGCAACUCAAAGCUACGGGAGGGCAGAACCAAUGUAACUGGCUUAGGGGGCACUCGAACUCGAGAGAAGCUAAACGCUCGGCUGGAUCAUAUUGUCUCGUAUGGACUGCUCCUAUUGAGACUGCUACAAGAGAGAAUGGAACUACAUGUAAAGAAACUCCCACUGGCUCGUAAGCAUCGGGGACUGCGGGGAAUUAAACUACUGCUACAAGGAAUACUGGGCCUUAGUCCUUCUCUUCUUUUAAACCUAUUCACUCGUAUCCCUAUCCAAAACGACAUGGAAGCACUUAGAACUGGAAUAUAAGUAUGAGUAUGCUAUGGGGCUAUUGACUAAGGGAUCUUAGAUAGGCUAUUGAUUAUCCCGCUUUCAAACUGGUUGUCCUAAAGGACAGGAGGAACUCUUUAACAUAUUAAUUAGUCUGGGGUGUACACUGAAAUGCCUUAGCCAAAGUAAACCACUCCUUAUGUAUACGAACAUUGGCUUGCAACUGCCAUUCUUUCUCGAUCGAAGGCAGAAGCAAUUGAAAAGAGAGAAGCAAAUGAUGAACUGGCUGGAAAAGAGCUCCCAGAGUAGAACUCGAAAUGAAAGUGGGCCUUUAACUGGCACUCCCGCUGUAAUUGGCUGGCCAGGAAAGUUCACUCGCUUAUUUACUUACGUUCUUAUUGAAGAAAGGAAAUUAAGAAAUAGCUACUAUUGAUACUGUAGUGGGACUGAGACUUAAAACAAAUAUACCUAUUAAGAGGUGGAACUGCUAGGCCUAGUACUUCCUAUUGCUGGUAUUCCAGGUGAACUUAUUCAAUACUCUAUGGUAGAAAUAGGAGAAACAUAUUCUAUUACUUAAUAAAGGGGAGAAACAAUUAGCUAUGAACUCAUCUCCUACACUGGGUCUAUGGGAACUAGGACUGAAAUUAUAUGGAUGGCUUUCGAGCCUGGAAAAUAACUGGCUUUUUCACAAGAUUGGUGAAACUGCUUUUAUCACUGGCUUUCCUCUUCUACUGAUUUAUAUUUCCUCCCGCUUUCUUCUUUUACGGAUAUUUCCCUUAGCUUUUUACCUAACCAGCCUUCAUCGAUACGAUACCCUGGCUUGCUUCUUUGCCUGCCUUGACUGUCGAAAUUAGCUUCCCUUAUUGAGAGCUCCCCAGCAAUAGAAUAUGACGAUACUCAUGCUCUGCUUGAACACUUGCCUGAUGGCUUUCAAAAUAGUUAUGGAUUGAAAAAGGGUAAAGAAACUGAAACUCAAAAGCAAACAAAGGAUUAGCAAUGGCUGGAAUAGAACUCCCAGAGAGAAGGCCAAAAACUGGCGCUUGGCUGGAAGGAAUUAGAUUAUGACUGGCCUCACCCUAUUUAUUUAUUUAUUGGCUCAUCUGGAUCGGUAACCUCGGGAAACCCGGGAGAACUCUUAUUGGGAGAACUUCAAGUGUUUAACUCCAAGCCCGACAUAUAAAAGCUAUAUUCAAGCCCCAGCCCUGUUUACUCCUGCUCAUUUAAAAUAUUCCUUACUGCUUGCCUUGAGAGAAACUCCUGCUGAAAAGGGAAUGCUUUCAUUUACUUAUGAUCUUGCUGGAUUAAAAAAGACUCCAACAGGAACUGAAAUUGGAUAGCUGGGAAUGGAAUAAUUAAUUAUGUAAAAAUACAUCUCUCACUUGCUUGUGUACUGGCACUCUCUGGAAAGGCUAUAAACUGACCCUGGGUCGGACUGGGACUUUCUCGCAGGAAAGGCAGAAUGAAACCAUUACGAAGGGAAAGAAAGAGAUACUUCUGUUGGCUUACUGGCUGGAAUGGUAAAGGACUAGUACUAGAAAUCGAUUACCCAGGCUGUAAAGGGCACUGACUCCCCAUAGCUUUCAGGAAAUUAAGGAACAGAGUGACGACCUUUAUAAUAUUAUUUAUAAAUAAAAAGAAUAAGGUAAGCAAAGAGAGGAAAUUCAAGUUCAAGAGACGGAUAGACUUACUCACUGGAAGGAUUGCCUAUACCCUUGCUUCACUAGAUAGGUGCUUUCCACUUACAGAAGAGGUGGAACAAGAUCAGGAUUUUUAAGAACUCCCACAGGAACUGGCUCUAAAGGAGAAGGAAUGGCACUAGGGGGAAGGGCUCGCAAAGCCUUAAGACUGAAAUUCAACCCCCCGAGAAGGCAGAACCAAGGAAACGGCCUGCAGGGGAAUCAGGACAGGUAAGGGAAGAAAGCAAGGCAAGGGAAAUCCCAACGGCUGGAAAGCAACUCGAUUAAAGGACAGGGACUACUGAUACAAUCCCAAAAGGAGGAGAUGCCCUUAGGAAUCCAACUCUCACUCCAACAGAUAAUUCAUCUUACUUAAAGGUUUCUUGCCUGCCCACAUCGAAAGAAAGUCCAACUGAGACUAUAUCUCAAACCCCUCCAAUGGUAACAGACUCGGGGACUACUAUUGCAAUAACAGGGACUGCUGGAAAGGAAAUAGGAUAUGCUGCAACACUGGGCUUGUUCAGGUAAUAUGCUAGUAAAAGAAUAGUGCAGAUAAUAGGUGUACAAGGCUAAUAUGCUAAUUAUUAACGAGUUGUUAUGUUAUACUAAAAUAAUCAAACUGAAAAGAGUUAUUAUGCUCACAUCACAGGGCCGGGCUCAGAGAACUCUGAAGUAGGCUCGAGAGCAAGAAAAGCAACUCCAACAGUAAAAGGUACUCCAAUUGACACUGAAACUGGGCAAACUCCCAAGAAGGGAGAAGGGCUAAUUCUAAGGCUGUCUCAUACUCUAUGUAACUAGGACUGGCACUAUGAACUCCUGCUUUAUAAUGACUUACUUGAUUACUUAGCCUAAGAGAGAGUUAAAAGUAAAGAAACUUAAACUGGAACUCACUCAAAACGAGCAGAAGGGCGAAGGACAGCAAUUGUAAAGAAUAAAGAAUCAAAGGCAGAAGGAAGGACAGAAAGGACAGGGACAAGGAAAACAAUUUAGGAAUACCUAUAGAUUUCCUCCGUAAAUAAAACUGUUUGCUCAGUUGACUAUCCAACUUUUUAAAACAAUCUGAACUUUGCUUUCUAACUAGCUUGCUCAUCAUAUAAUGUUGUCUCCCGGACACUGGCUCGCAUAGACCUAUAUCUAAGGGAACUAGCAAUAGCUGUAGGGGCUUAUCCUGAUCCUGAGACUGCUACUAUUUCUACUGCUACAAGAGAGAAUGUUUCAAUGGCAAUGGCCAGAGAAGCGGUACUUUGAAAAUCAAAAGGGCAAUUAGUACGGCUGACACGAUAGACUAAGAGACUACUUGCUCUCCCGCUGGGAGACAGGCAGAAGCACAUGAUGAUGCCCUUUUUUUCUUCUUCUUCAACUAGAUAGCUGGCAAUUGCCACUGAAACAGCAUCAAUGGUUGGAAGAAUAAAAGCAAUUGGAUAGUACCUUUUUUGCAAUUUCCUAGUAGGUUACAGGCCUGGAAAUAGACUGCAAAAAAGAGACGACUAAUGUACUCGCUUGCGCAUUUUCUUAACUCAUAUAAUUUCAUAAUUUAACUCAUAUAAUAAUGCUUAAUAACGAGCUUGCUUAUUCGCUUUUGCUCACAAAAGAACUGGCUUGCCAAAAGAAAAAGAAGAUUACUUAUCUCAAGGCCCUAGAAUCUGAGAACCUGAAAGAUAACUUGUUUGCUUUUUUUCCCUUUACCUGUGUGUGUCUGCUCACAACCGAAAUGAAUAGAAAACUCGCUGGAAGUGCCUUAAAGCCCAACUUCCCUUGCUUAUGGGACUGUAACCCACCAGUAGUAUAAGUAUAUACUACUACUACUUUAUAUGUAUAUAUCUUAUUAGUACAUUAAUAACCUAAUAACCAUAUAUUAAUAUAUGAACUCAUUAUUGGAUACUAACUAUUAAAC